UUGCCACUGACUUCCCAUUUUCUGUUGCUGAAAUCAAGUGCAACUUCAAUUUUUUGAAGCUAAAACAUGACAGAUAAUUGAAAUGGUUACUGUUGAAUGAACCACACUCUAUUUGUCUUGAGAUUCUGUCAAGAUUCGGGAAUGUGGCAAAAAUAUGUAAAAAG